GACAGAGGGUGCAAACGUUGUUCGGAUUUACUGGGCGUAAAGCGCGUGUAGGCGGCUUGGCAAGUUGGAUGUGAAAGCCCACGGCUCAACCGUGGAAGCGCAUCCAAAACUGCUUCGCUCGAGUCUCGGAGAGGAAGGUGGAAUGCUUGGGUGUAGAGGUGAAAUUCGUAGAUAUCAAGCAGAACACCUGCGGCGAAGGCGGCCUUCUGGACGAUGACUGACGCUGAGACGCGAAAGCGUGGGGAGCAAACAGG
rnacentral:rRNA from 1 species